CUGCUCUGUCUACGGAGUAGCCAUGCUUUUAUUCCUUUACUUUCCUAACAACAUUUAUUUCCCUUUAUGUACUCGCCCUGAUUCUUUCUUGUGCGAGAUCUAAGAACCCUCUCUUGGGGUCUUGAUCGGGACCCCUUUCUUGUAACACAACUCCUUUUUUUGGAGUUUUACUUGCUUCCAACAAGGAAGGCAAGUUUUCCUGCUUCCAUGACGGUGGAAGGCAGAUAACUCCUUUCCGGAGUUCGAGCCUGCUUUCAACAGGGAAGGCAAAUUUGAGUUUUCCCCUGCUUCUAGAAUGGAAGAUGGCAGUCUUCAGCCUGAGACCCAUUCCUAGCAUUGGGCACAUUCACAUUCUUCUGCAACCAUCGCCAGCAUCCGUCGGCAGAACCUUCUCAUCUUC
rnacentral:lncRNA from 1 species